UGGGGAAUAUUGGACAAUGGGCGCAAGCCUGAACCAGCCAUGCCGCGUGCAGGAAGAAGGCCUUCUGGGUUGUAAACUGCUUUUGCCAGGGGAUAAAAGAGCUAUGCGUAGCGAAUUGAAGGUACCUGGUGAAUAAGCCACGGCUAACUACGUGCCAGCAGCCGCGGUAAUACGUAGGUGGCAAGCGUUGUCCGGAUUUAUUGGGUUUAAAGGGUGCGUAGGCGGCCUAUUAAGUCAGUGGUGAAAUAUUUCAGCUUAACUGGAAUUGUGCCAUUGAUACUGAUGGGCUUGAGUACAGAUGAGGUAGGCGGAAUUGACGGUGUAGCGGUGAAAUGCUUAGAUAUCGUCAAGAACACCUAUAGCGAAGGCAGCUUACUAGGCUGUAACUGACGCUGAGGCACGAAAGUGUGGGGAUCAAA
rnacentral:rRNA from 1 species